GCUGUGAUGGCCAAGUGGUUAAGGCAUUGGAUUUGAACUGAAAUCCCGCGCAGGUUCAAACCCUGCUCUCAGCA